rnacentral:rRNA from 1 species
UACGUAGGGACCAAGCGUUGUUCGGAUUUACUGGGCGUAAAGGGCGCGUAGGCGGCAAUUCAAGUCAUCUGUGAAAUCUCCGGGCUUAACUCGGAACGGUCAGAUGAUACUGCUUUGCUAGAGUGCGGAAGGGGCAAUCGGAAUUCUUGGUGUAGCGGUGAAAUGCGUAGAUAUCAAGAGGAACACCUGAGGUGAAGACGGGUUGCUGGGCCGACACUGACGCUGAGGUGCGAGAGCGUGGGGAGCGAACCGG